GUGCUCACUUUGGCAGCAUGUAUACUAUAAUUGGAAAGGUACAGAGAAGAUUAGCAUGGCCCCUGGGCAAGGAUGACAUGCAAAUUCAUGAAGCACAUUUUGAGUAA
rnacentral:snRNA from 1 species